CCUAACCUAGGGUUCGAGCAGAGAGAGAGAGAACGAGGACGAUGGCUUCGACGAUCCUCCGGUCAGCCGGCGGCGCGCUCCGGCGGUCCGUGCUCGCGGGGGAGCAGCGGUUGCUGAUCCGCCGCGCAGCCGUGGUCCCCGCCCUGUCGGCCAUGGAGGAGAACCCGCGUCGCCUCUCCAGCUAGCGCCAGCUGCGACGAUGGCUCCACCCACAAGGCCGCGGCCACCGCGCCGAGUUCUUCCUCAGAUCCUGCAUCGGAACUUGGUGACAUGGAGAACAAUGAGUUUCUGGUUUAUUCUUAUGUCAGCAAGAAAUUGGAUAAUAUCGAGAACCUCCUUGACAAGAUGGAAACUUUGAGAAAAGAAAGUGAUGAGGCUGAUGCAAGGUUCGCUCAGCUUAGACCAUACAAGGCGUUUGCAUGUGUCUCAGGUAUUUUUGCCUUCUGCUAUUGUGCCAGUCUUUGGUUGAGAUAGCCCAUGAUGGAGAAAUGGCUUCAUUAUACUAUGUAUAUACUCCCUCAUUUUCUAAAUGUUUAACGCCGUUGACUUUUUUAAACAUAUUUGACCGUUCGUCUUAUUCAAAUUUUUU